UCUUGACAUCCAGAGAACUUAGCAGAGAUGCUUUGGUGCCUUCGGGAACUCUGAGACAGGUGCUGCAUGGCUGUCGUCAGCUCGUGUUGUGAAAUGUUGGGUUAAGUCCCGCAACGAGCGCAACCCUUAUCCUUUGUUGCCAGCGAUUCGGUCGGGAACUCAAAGGAGACUGCCAGUGAUAAACUGGAGGAAGGUGGGGAUGACGUCAAGUCAUCAUGGCCCUUACGAGUAGGGCUACACACGUGCUACAAUGGCAUAUACAAAGAGAAGCGACCUCGCGAGAGCAAGCGGACCUCAUAAAGUAUGUCGUAGUCCGGAUUGGAGUCUGCAACUCGACUCCAUGAAGUCGGAAUCGCUAGUAAUCGUGGAUCAGAAUGCCACGGUGAAUACGUUCCCGGGCCUUGUACACACCGCCCGUA
rnacentral:rRNA from 1 species